AUACUUACCUGGCAGGGAGACACCGCGAUCACAAAGGUGGUUUUCCCAGGGCGAGGUGUACCCACGGCACCCCAGAUGAGCCAACUGUGGCAAUGCCCCCAUAUUCAGGAAACUCUGCUGCACAACUUGUGGUAGUGGGGGACUUGUUGCCCCUCUCCCCUC